rnacentral:piRNA from 1 species
UAUAUGGGUCACUUAUGUAGUUAGAAAGAA